ACCACCCCCACCACCACCUCAGCACGAGAUCAUCUACGACUAUGUGGCCCCAGCUCACUACCAGUACGACUAUGCUGUGAAGGACUCCCACACGGGAGACCACAAGGAGCAGUGGGAGACUCGUGAGGGGGACACGGUGCGUGGAGCGUACAGUCUGGCCGAUGCGGAUGGCACCAUCCGAAUCGUCGAGUACACCGCCGACCCCCACAACGGAUUCAACGCCGUCGUCAAGAGGGUGGGACACCCCCUGCCGCCGCCCCCACAGCCGCCCACGCUGCCGCCGCCACCGCCACCCCCACCGGCGCCCCACGGCCCGCUGCCGCUGCCCGUCCACCCCUGAGGAUGAGCACCGACUCCGACAUCGGAACACUGAAACCGACGACCCAGCGCGUUCAUUGGCCACCGAGAAUAUUUCUUCUUCCUUCUCUUCCUUAUCCCUUUCCUACUCGCUUAUAUAGCUACUGCUGACGCUAAAGAACUCAUGUGUGAUACGUGUGUGUGACAAUCUCGCCAGGGCACUGUACAUAUCGACGACUCCAUGCGAUUAUAUAAUGACAGACGCGAAAUGUUAUUGUAUUUAUUUGUUGAUACGUUGAACAA